UGGGGAAUUUUUCGCAAUGGGCGCAAGCCUGACGAAGCAACGCCGCGUGGAGGAUGAAGGCCCUCGCGGUCGUAAACUCCUGUCUAGCGGGACGAAAGUACUUCAGGUGAAUAGGUUGAGGUAUUGACUGUACUGCUGGAGGAAGCUCCGGCCAACUCCGUGCCAGCAGCCGCGGUAAUACGGAGGGAGCAAGCGUUACUCGGAAUUAUUGGGCGUAAAGGGCGCGUAGGCGAUUCGGUAAGUCUCGUGUGAAAUCCCAGUGCUUAACGCUGGAAGAGCACGGGAAACUGCUGAAUUUGAGUUCCGGAGAGGAAGGCAGAAUUCCCGGUGUAGCGGUGAAAUGCGUAGAUAUCGGGAGGAAUACCAGUGGCGAAGGCGGCCUUCUGGACGGAUACUGACGCUGAGGCGCGAAAGCUAGGGGAGCAAACGGGAUUAGAUACCCCGGUAGUCCUAGCCGUAAACGAUGUGCACUUGGUGUGAGCCGGAUUUCGGUUCGUGCCGAAGCUAACG
rnacentral:rRNA from 1 species